AGUAUGGUAGGAUAAUUUUUUAAGUCUGUGAAUUCAUAUUUUCAAGGUAUUUCAUAUUU
rnacentral:tRNA from 1 species